AUGCGUGAGGAAGGAAAAAGCGGAGCUGGAGGUAUUGCGCGUUCAUCUACAACCCUUUUGGGUGCUUGGUGUAAACCCCACCCUGGAGUGACUGACCCCCUCAUCGCUGAAGCCCUAGCUGCAAGAGAUGGAGUUAUCUUCGCAAAUCUCAGAGGGUUUACGCACGUGGUGCUGGAGACUGAUAGUCUCGAGGUGGUCAACCUCUGGAACACUCGCUGCAACAGUCGUUCAGUUGUGGCUCCAAUUCUUCAAGACAUUGAUGAGCUUUCUGCUAGUUUUACUUCUUUUGUAUUUCAGCAUGUUAGUAGAUCAACCAAUGUCUCAGCUCACCUUUGUGCAAAAUGCGAUUGUACGGUGACUGUGACUGAAAGUUGGCUUACUGAAACUCCCAGCUUCCUGAUCAGUAGCCUUUUGGCUGACUGCCCAGCGAAUGCGUUUAUUUGA
rnacentral:rRNA from 1 species